CCUGGUCUUGCUUAUAGUAUGACUGGGCCACACGCUUAUUAAUAGCACUCUUAAUUGAGUCAUGAAAUUCAAUCACAACAUUUAGUAAUUAUUAUAUGAAUGUGAAAAAUGAAGUGAUGAUGAUUUAUUUUUAAUUAAUGGGCUAUAUAUU
rnacentral:sRNA from 12 species